AUCUAGCUGAAGAGUCACGGCUAGGACGAAACGCGCGUCCUGAAU
rnacentral:hammerhead_ribozyme from 1 species